rnacentral:lncRNA from 1 species
CCGGCCUCCAGCCAGAGCCCUGCUGAGAUGCCGCUGGAGAAGCGGAUCAGAAGGCACGGCCAGGACUCGUUCACACCACCCGCAAGUUCUUCCUUUGCCAUCUCGAAGUUAUAUUCCAGAUCCGCGCCCUUCUCCGUCUCCAGCACUGCCAGUCUGGACCCAGCCGAGCUCCCCGCUGCCCCAUCCACCACAGCCUCUAGCUAUAGUCUCCCUGUUUCCUAUUGUCCCGGCUCUGAUGUACUCUCCGUGUGACCCUGGAUCCGGAAGCUGAGGCCGGAGAGAUGAAGUCACGCAGCCAGUGAGGGGCCCAGAGGAGAUCUGACUUCAUCUCUUCAUAAUUUCCACAUCAGCUCUGUGCUGGAGCGAAAGAACACACCCACGUGGGAAUGACUUCACGCUCCAGAAAGAACGCUACAAAUUGGUUGAGAGGCGUAGAAGAGGAAUUUUCCUCCUAAAGGCUGCAGGAAUCCACUGGCGGGAUAGAAACGUGAUUAGAAGACGGAGCUGUGACUCAUACACAUUUCUGCUGGGAUGAGUAAAAAUACCGGGAGCGAAAGAUGGAUUAGUCACUGGAAUACAGUUUGCUUUUGAGAACUGAGUCGCCCACAGCUGCCCUUGGUCAUUAGGUUCUGAAAUU